AUUGAACGCUGGCGGCAGGCCUAACACAUGCAAGUCGAACGGUAACAGGAAAAAGCUUGCUGCUUCGCUGACGAGUGGCGGACGGGUGAGUAAUGUCUGGGAAACUGCCUGAUGGAGGGGGAUAACUACUGGAAACGGUAGCUAAUACCGCAUAACGUCGCAAGACCAAAGAGGGGGACCUUCGGGCCUCUUGCCAUCGGAUGUGCCCAGAUGGGAUUAGCUAGUAGGUGGGGUAACGGCUCACCUAGGCGACGAUCCCUAGCUGGUCUGAGAGGAUGACCAGCCACACUGGAACUGAGACACGGUCCAGACUCCUACGGGAGGCAGCAGUGGGGAAUAUUGCACAAUGGGCGCAAGCCUGAUGCAGCCAUGCCGCGUGUAUGAAGAAGGCCUUCGGGUUGUAAAGUACUUUCAGCGGGGAGGAAGGGAGUAAAGUUAAUACCUUUGCUCAUUGACGUUACCCGCAGAAGAAGCACCGGCUAACUCCGUGCCAGCAGCCGCGGUAAUACGGAGGGUGCAAGCGUUAAUCGGAAUUACUGGGCGUAAAGCGCACGCAGGCGGUUUGUUAAGUCAGAUGUGAAAUCCCCGGGCUCAACCUGGGAACUGCAUCUGAUACUGGCAAGCUUGAGUCUCGUAGAGGGGGGUAGAAUUCCAGGUGUAGCGGUGAAAUGCGUAGAGAUCUGGAGGAAUACCGGUGGCGAAGGCGGCCCCCUGGACGAAGACUGACGCUCAGGUGCGAAAGCGUGGGGAGCAAACAGGAUUAGAUGCCCUGGUAGUCCACGCCGUAAACGAUGUCGACUUGGAGGUUGUGCCCUUGAGGCGUGGCUUCCGGAGCUAACGCGUUAAGUCGACCGCCUGGGGAGUACGGCCGCAAGGUUAAAACUCAAAUGAAUUGACGGGGGCCCGCACAAGCGGUGGAGCAUGUGGUUUAAUUCGAUGCAACGCGAAGAACCUUACCUGGUCUUGACAUCCACAGAACUUUUCAGAGAUGAGAAGGUGCCUUCGGGAACCGUGAGACAGGUGCUGCAUGGCUGUCGUCAGCUCGUGUUGUGAAAUGUUGGGUUAAGUCCCGCAACGAGCGCAACCCUUAUCUUUUGUUGCCAGCGGUCCGGCCGGGAACUCAAAGGAGACUGCCAGUGAUAAACUGGAGGAAGGUGGGGAUGACGUCAAGUCAUCAUGGCCCUUACGACCAGGGCUACACACGUGCUACAAUGGCGCAUACAAAGAGAAGCGACCUCGCGAGAGCAAGCGGACCUCAUAAAGUGCGUCGUAGUCCGGAUUGGAGUCUGCAACUCGACUCCAUGAAGUCGGAAUCGCUAGUAAUCGUGGAUCAGAAUGCCACGGUGAAUACGUUCCCGGGCAU
rnacentral:rRNA from 1 species